AGAGUUUGAUCCUGGCUCAGGAUGAACGCUGGCGGCGUGCUUAACACAUGCAAGUCGAACGAAGACAUCUGAGUGCUUGCACUUGGAUGGACUGAGUGGCGGACGGGUGAGUAACGCGUGGGUAACCUGCCUUAUACAGGGGGAUAACAGUUGGAAACGACUGCUAAUACCGCAUAAGCGCACGGUAUCGCAUGAUACAGUGUGAAAAACUCCGGUGGUAUAAGAUGGACCCGCGUCUGAUUAGCCAGUUGGUGGGGUAACGGCCUACCAAAGCGACGAUCAGUAGCCGACCUGAGAGGGUGACCGGCCACAUUGGGACUGAGACACGGCCCAAACUCCUACGGGAGGCA
rnacentral:rRNA from 1 species